CCCACGCAGGCCCGGGGAGAACAUGCAAACUCCACACAGGGAGGCCGGAGCUGGAAUCGAACCCGGUACCUCUGCACUGUGAAGCCCACGUGCUAACCACUGGACUACCGGGCCGCUGAUAGCAAGAUAACAAAACACAAAAAAAACAAUUUCCCCCAUUAAUGUAAGCUACAACCUGUGUAAACCAAUUGAAAAUGAAAACACUUUUCGACUGGGAAGUUUUAAAAAAAAAAAAAAAAGAAGAAGAACGAAAUAGUGAGACAUGAUUGUGUUUGAAUUGGGGAUUGUGCCUGCGUUCACCGCUAAUAAAUCCCAUUCAAAGUCACGUGAAAUGGCCACCAAGCCACACGUGCGAGCGUUUCAAAAGUGUCUCUGAUGAACCAAAAAUGACUUUUGUGUGUACUUUUGUUUUCUCUCUCGCAGGUUUGGUGCUCACCGGUAUUCCCUACGCAUCAGAAUUCCCGCCACUUGCCACACACAUGCUUAAGUGUAGGGAUGGUGUUCUUUUUAUGAUGAGACCUUUGGGGAAUGAUGGCCAAAAAGUUCAAUCUGGGUUUCAAUGGACCAUACAAUCCAUCUGCAUUCAUGUUUACCCAAGUGCACCAAAAACCUGUGAGAAAAUGAAUCGUGAUCCAAUGAGCGCAAGUCAGCCGUCAUUCCAAAAGGUAUGCUCGGCGCCAACGCAAUGCCGUGGAAUACGUUUUGAAAUGAUUUCAUCUUGGUGUGAUUUAAAUUUUUUUGGGGGGGUGGAUGGGGGGGUAUGACAAAGAAACUGGCAUUUCAACAUGGCCGUGUAGACUUUUUACAUCCGCUGCAGAUUACGCAUCGCCGGAUCCCGCUGAGCUUGUUAAAAAGCACCGUUGUGGGGCAAACGCUCGGACUGAGAGGCCAAAAGGUCAGUUGGGAAGUCGCUCGAGCGCCACGGCCAAGCGGCCGCAAGUUGCCCUGCCACAACUCUCUCGCUUCUUCAUGAUGACGUCAACUUCUGAGUCUGGCCUGCCCAUCCAGUUCUCGACAUACCUCAAAUUACAACUUGAGAAAUGACAACCUGCUCAUCGAAGAUCGGAGUCACGAGGGGACCGGCGGACCAUCAUCAUCGCCUCUCUAAUGAGCAGCCGAUGGAGGCAAUAACAUCUCGUCGUGGCAAGCAUACGGCUGGAGUGAAAGUGAAGCCGUGAGGCGAGAGCUACACCCCCCCGAGAAAGAGCAAAGAUAAAGGGGCCGAGCAGAAACUGCAAUGAGCAGAUCAAGCAUGUCGAAUAAUGCUGCAGUGCAGUGCACGGAAACGUAGAGAAGUCUUCAAAUUAAGAAAAGAUGCAUGGGGACUUAAGGCAACAGGCAAGGUGGUCCCACAAGGGCCGUGAAAGUGAAACCUGGAAAGGUGAAAAGCAAAUAAAUAA